rnacentral:lncRNA from 1 species
CGAGAUGCAACGGUGAUGGAGGUGCGAUGGUGAUGGAGGUGCGAGGGUGAUGGAGGUGCAAUGGUGAUGGAGGUGCGACAGUGAUGGAGGUGUGAGGUGUGAUGGUUGCUGACGGCGUGCGAGGAAGAAGAUGAUGGACGGUGGUCGGUGGUCGGCGGUUGGGGUUUGGGUAAUGGUAAAGGAAUUAGGGUUUCAGAGAAAGAAGAAAGUCUUUCUUUUUUUCCACUUUGCCCUUCUAAAUUUUUAAAAAAAUCAUAAUUCCAACUGAAAAGGUUUCCCA